AGACAUGCAGUCGAGCGGACAGAUGGGAGCUUGCUCCCUGAUGUUAGCGGCGGACGGGUGAGUAACACGUGGGUAACCUGCCUGUAAGACUGGGAUAACUCCGGGAAACCGGGGCUAAUACCGGAUGGUUGUUUGAACCGCAUGGUUCAGACAUAAAAGGUGGCUUCUGCUACCACUUAUUGAUGGACCCGCGGCGCAUUGCUAGUUGGUGAGGUAACGGCUCACCAAGGCGACGAUGCGUAGCCCACCUGAGAGGGUGAUCGGCCACACUGGGACUGAAACACGGC
rnacentral:rRNA from 1 species